rnacentral:rRNA from 1 species
UGGGGAAUAUCGCACAAUGGGGGAAACCCUGAUGCAGCAACGCCGCGUGCGGGAUGACGGCCUUCGGGUUGUAAACCGCUUUCAGCCAUGACGAAGCUUUUGUGACGGUAGUGGCAGAAGAAGCACCGGCUAACUACGUGCCAGCAGCCGCGGUGAUACGUAGGGUGCGAGCGUUGUCCGGAAUUAUUGGGCGUAAAGAGCUUGUAGGCGGUUUGUCGCGUCGAAAGUGUAAACUCAGUGCUUAACGCUGAGCCUGCUUUCGAUACGGGCUGACUAGAGGAAGGUAGGGGAGAAUGGAAUUCCCGGUGGAGCGGUGGAAUGCGCAGAUAUCGGGAGGAACACCAGUGGCGAAGGCGGUUCUCUGGACCUUUCCUGACGCUGAGAAGCGAAAGCGUGGGUAGCAAACAGG